CGAAGGCAGCUCACUAAGCUGGUAUUGACGCUGAUGCACGAAAGCGUGGGGAUCGAACAGGAUUAGAUACCCUGGUAGUUCACGCCCUUAACGAUGAUAACUCGAUGUUGGCGAUAGACAGCCAGCGUUCAAGCGAAAGCGUUAAGUUAUCCACCUGGGGAGUACGGCCGCAAGGGUGAAACUCAAAGGAAUUGACGGGGGCCCGCUCAAGCGGAGGAGCAUGUGGUUUAAUUCGAUGAUACGCGAGGAACCUUACCCGGGCUUGAAAGUUAGUGAAGAGUGCAGAGACGCCCUCGUCCUUCGGGACCCGAAACUAGGUGCUGCAUGGCUGUUGUCAGCUCGUGCCGUGAGGUGUUGGGUUAAGUCCCGCAACGAGCGCAACCCCUAUGUUUAGUUGCCAGCAUGUAAUGGUGGGGACUCUAAACAGACUGCCUGUGCAAACAGAGAGGAAGGUGGGGACGACGUCAAGUCAUCAUGGCCCUUACGUCCGGGGCUACACACGUGCUACAAUGGAUGGUACAGCGGGCAGCUACAUAGCAAUAUGAUGCUAAUCUCUAAAAGCCAUUCACAGUUCGGAUUGGGGUCUGCAACUCGACCCCAUGAAGUGGAU
rnacentral:rRNA from 1 species